rnacentral:tRNA from 1 species
GGGCGGGUGGUCUAGAUUGGUUAUGAUUCCUGCCUUGGGAGCAGGAGGUCGCCGGUUCAAAUCCGGCCCCGCCCA